rnacentral:ncRNA from 1 species
ACUGUGGAGUGUACAUAGUUGUUCCAACAUUGGAACUUGUGAGUAGCGUAUUGUUUACAAUCGCCAAAGCAUACACAAUGAAGCAGUAA